CACUUCAGGAGUUGUGCCGUCUACGAUGUAGUAUGCAGGAGUUAGAGAUGCAAAACUUUUUGAAUACAAGACUAUACAAACUUCCUUCAUGAUAAAGUUGCAAGCCAACAAGGACUAUACAAUUUAUCAUGAUAAAGUUGCAAGCCAACACACGAAAACCCUAAAGAUUAGCCCACCAUUUUUAUUUCCUUUACUAACCCUACCUUAGGCCCUUUUAUUUAUUUUUAAAAGCAUUAUAAUAAUUUUCUAAUCUCAAAAACCUAAUUCCUAUGAAUUAAUAAUUAUUUGUGGAUAAUAAAGCAUUUUUCAAGUUUUUAUACAUUUAUUAAAGUUUAAGCAUUUAUUUAAAUACCUUAGAUAAAAAGGCAUUAAAUAAAUACCUAAAUUUUUAUUAUUUUUCCUAGGGUUUAAGAAUUUUAAUGCAUAAAGGAAAAUAAAACAAUCCUAAUAAAAUUGGUUUCACUAAUUUUGGGCACUUCUAGAAUUUCCUGUGAAUUAAAUGGUGAAAACAACCUUUAAUCUAUUUAUCUAUUAAAAGAAAACCUAAGAUUUAAUAAAAACCCCCGGCCCAAACUUUCCUCACCUAACCUUCUUCUACCCACUAUCACUUCCACCUAGGGCCCAUCCGGUUUCCUAUUCUCCUUCUUCUUUUCUUCCUUGACAAGUGGGGCCCACAGCCGGCACCCUUCCUCGGGCCAAAAGGUGGCCCGUCAAUUCUUAACCCGUGGCGCGUGGGCUUCCUCGUGGUAUCUCCUUUUUGGGCCGGCUUCCUCCUCUUCUCCUCUUUCUCAACUCCGGCCGGCCCACCUUCUUUCUCCUUUACUUCUAUCUGGGUCGCACGGCCUAUUUUCUUUUCAACCCGAUCGUCAGCCCACCGGUCCUCCCUUUCUUCCUCAAAAGGUCAUCGGCCCAACGAACGUCGACGCACUAAUGGGCCUCCUCCACCGCAACUGGGCAACACGGCCCAAGCAACACUCUACUGGCCUGCUAAACCCCUCCUUUUUCUUUUAUGCCGCGCGGGCCAGCUGGGCCAAUUCUUUCCCUUGGCCCAAGACGGGUGACCGGCCUACUCCUUCUCUCCCGCUCCACCUGGGCCUCCCCCACCGAGACUUGGACUCCUGCCCCAAGUUCAUCAACCGGCCUGCCUCCUCCUCCCCUUGGCCCACGACGGACGGUGGCCCCUCUUUUCUUUCUCCCUUUUCUUCUAUGCCGCGUGGGCUUUAGCUGGGCCGGCGUCUCUCUCUCGGCCCAAAACGGCGGUUGGCCUUUCUUCUUCUCCUUCUUCUCCUCACAACCCCCUGACGCACGGCUUCUUCCUCUCGGCGCAAAAACAGGGGGCGCGCUGGCGUGAGGAAGACGGGGCAGCCCCGGCCAACGGCGGCUCGCCGGCGGCCGAGAGGGGCGGGGUGGCGGCGCCCCAGGCCAGGCGCACCUGCGCCCACUGCCCGUUCGCCGGGAGGCGGCCCGAGCCGGCCCCUCCACGGGCGGCCGCGGCUUGGCCAUCGGCCGGCCAUGGCGGCGCACGGAGGUGGCAUAAACUGUUCCCACAACUCCCCCUACGGCUUCCACACUCUUGCAGGACACCCCUAGGCCCGCCAAUCAAGAAGGAAAAGCCGAUUCAGGAGCUCACCUUGGGGAUUGGAUGACGGCGGCCGGCGGAUGGAAAUAGCGGCACACCGGAGCUUGACGGCGGGGAGCUGGAAAAUGGAGGAGCUUGGGACGUUGAGGAGUAGCUGGAGGAACUUUGGGUGGAUGGAAUUGCAAGAAGAGGUGGCGAUGUUGGUGAAUCGGCCGGCGGCGGCACUGAUUGCGCAAGCUCUGCUUGCACGGCAGAAAAACCCAGGGCGGCAGUUUAACUGGAGGAGGGCAAGGCGAUAGCGACGCAACAUUAUCGUGCAUGACCUCCAGCUUAGCUCGUGGUAGGCGGCGGGGUGCGAGCGUGGCUGUCGCGCUGGCCAACAUGCCCGAGAGCC
rnacentral:lncRNA from 1 species